rnacentral:snRNA from 1 species
CAUGCCUCGCCAGCCAUUUGGAGGUAAUUAAGGGGCUAAGAUCAAGCGUAGUAUCUGUUCUUAUCAGUUUAAUAGCUGAUAUGUUCUCUAUCUUAGAGCUUUAUAUUAUUAAAUAAUUACAAUGUUC